GUCUGUAUGUGCACGAGUGUCUGUGACAUGGUGUGGGACUGGCCGUGGGGUCCCGGACAAGCUGGGCCAGGGCUGUUGGUGCCCCAGGAAGGGAUGGUAGCUGCCUGCUGUGGCAGGGCCAGCGCAUCACACGGAGAGGAUCCCGAGCCUUCCUGUGACUGCAUCGCUGCCUCUGCUCUCUCUCGCUCUCAGGCAGGAAGCAGACAGGUUCUGAAUUGAUCUCCCUAGGAGAAUUUUAUCCCUCUUCAUCCUUCUUGGACACUACAGUCAAGUUCUUUCUUAGUUCUCUUGGACCAUUCUGAUUCUAGAAGGACUGACCACCCUGCUACAAUAGAUUGGAGAAUCCCUCAGAUCAGCAGGCCUGAGUAAAACCUCACUGCCAUCAAAGCACCAAAAAUGUGGGCAAAGAUAGCUUGGACUCUACCAGACCAUCUGCCAGCUGACACCAUUGAGUAACAUCCAUUGAUAUUGUGAGGAAGAAAUAAAUCAUCCAGCAGAUCUUGCCCCAAGUGCCCAACCCACAAAAUUGGGCAGGGG
ensembl:lncRNA